rnacentral:lncRNA from 1 species
CUAGCCCUCUGCCACCCCUCCUGGCUCCAUCAGCCCCCGUCUCCCCUGGAAGGAUGGGGCUGCAUGGCCUGCCUUCCCCGCACUCCCUCACUUCCCUCUGGAUCCCAGCAACAAGUUUAAUUGGAAAAAACCAAGGCUGACUUGGAGGCAAGGCAAGGAGGCAGGGAGAGCCUGUACCAACUGACACUAUGAUCGAUUACCUGGAACUUCACCUGACACUGAAAUUAGGGUUUUUUAAUGAUAGGCUGACUCUCCCUGGAUGUGAAAUUCAAAUGAUCUCCAAAGCUUCCCUGCGACCAUCGCUUGCUGAAUGCAGUGGUACACGCCACAUGCAGGAGCUCAGUAAGAGCUCGGAUGAGAGCGAGGCCUGGGUUGUGCCAGAGCCUACAUGAGGAAGAACAGACCCAGCGCCAAAGUGCUUGUGAUCUUCAGAGAGGCGGCACGCUACCUUCCGUUCCCAACCGCAGCUGAAUUCCUGAUGCAGGGAGACUUUACAAGACCCUCGAGAGAUGCUGAAGGCUGACCCUUUCUGUCAUUGGGAGCAAGAAACUUUCUGGUUACCUCAGAGCAAAAGGACAAAGCUUUAUAUCAUACAUUCAAUAAAACAAAACACACACCAAAAAAAAAAAAAAAA